CAUGAACAUCGACAUUUCGAACGCACAUUGCGGCCCUAGGACUUGUUCCUGGGCCACACCUGACUGAGGGUCGGUUGACCAAACUCAACGACCAGACUGUCCCCUCAAGCUUGUCUUGGGGGACGAGGUUGGAGGUUUCCGCGCUUGCGUGGUCCUCUUAAAUAACGUGAGUGUGGGCUCGGCGUUCGCGUCGUCCCACCGAUUCGCUGCACGGAAAACUCAUGUAUAUAUCGAGUGGAAUGGAGAUGUGGUCGACCACCGCUAAGAGAAGCGGCUCUCCCAUCUGAGUCUCACACAAACGAGUAUACAGAAGGAUCUGACGGUCAUGCCGUUAGCGUGCGUCCGAUUUCGAGUUUUACUUGAACGGCAUUCCGACGGGUARACCCGAACACAGUGGCUCCUUCGGGGCAAAGAUACCUUCUGAAACUUGGAGAUUCGGUCGCGAGAUGCCUCAGGUGGCAAAGCCGACGCAUCUUUUCAUCCGCUCGAUAUUUUUUUCCGUCAAUAGCGUACGGCGUUUCGUCUUCCGGGCGAUUCGCACUUCACGACCUCAGUUCAGGUGAGAC
rnacentral:rRNA from 1 species